rnacentral:lncRNA from 1 species
CACUAAUAACACUGUUAUUUUUCCACACUCUAAAAUUUCAAUCAACCUUCUUUAGCAUUCCAUAUUUUCUUUAUCCUUAAUUCAUCAUCAUGGCUGAAGAGAAGCACCACCAUGGCUUCUUCCACCACAAGAAGGAUGAAGACCAAGAUCGGCCAGGCUACGGUGGUGAUGCACCCUAUGACUCCACCACCGGUGGUGGCUAUAACCAGUAUUCUAGUGAUACCACUGACACUGGAUACAACAAGUACUCUGGUGACACCACCACUGGUGGUGGCUACAACGAGUACUCCUCCGGCGGUGAUACCGGAUAUGGAAACAAGUACUCUGGUGAUAAGACCACCACGGGUACCGCCUAUGGUGGUGGUGGUGGCUAUGGUAGUGGCUAUGGUGGUGCUGAAACUGUGGGUGAUGACUCUGAAAAGCCUGAUUAUGAGAAAGAAAAGAAGCACCACAAAAAUCUUGAGCACCUUGGUGAAGCUGGUGCUCUUGCUGCUGGUGCCUAUGCCUUGGUAAGUUUCUUUGCUUUUUAGUUUGUCCAACAUUCAAUUUUCUUAUAAUGACUGUUCAUGUUAUAUAAUUUUUUGGGGUCAUUUCUAGGGGGUUUUAUACGUAUCUUUUAAUUUAUUUUACCUUUCUUUAGCAUACUUGAAAAAGGGUAGUCAAAUUAUGGAGGGUUUUAUUCUUACAAAGUGAUAGUUUUAUGCCUAGAUAUCGUUGAUUUUUGUUUCUUUUUUCUCGUUUGAUUAAUUUCUUGUUUCUUUUUUUUUUUCAAUGUCAAUUAUGUACCAGUAUGAGAAGCAUGAGGCAAAGAAGGACCCCGAGCAUGCUCACAGGCACAAGAUAGGAGAAGAGAUUGGAGCGGUAGCCGCACUUGGAGCUGGUGGAUUUGCAUUCCAUGAGCAUCACGAGAAGAAGGAAGCUAAAGAAGAUGAGGAAGAGGCCGAGGGGAAAAAGAAGCAUCACUUUUUCUAAUUCCCGUGAUCACAUAUAUAUCAAUAUAUAUAUCUGUAUAUGUACCUUUAA